GAUCCCAUGGCGUAGUGGUCACUGCGACUGCUAUACGCGCGGGAGACCCGGGUUCGAUUCCCGGCGGGGCCA
rnacentral:tRNA from 1 species